GAAGCGGACAAUCAAAUAUAGAAAAGAAACUUGAACUAUCAUACACCUUCUUUGACAAAAUAUCGGCAGCUUGAUUUCGUGCCGUUUGACAUGACUCAACGAGCAUUCUGGUAACAAAUACAUCCAAUACCGAAUUUCAAAUAAUACAUUACCAAAUUGAACACUGUGUUCUGUCAAAUUUACAAUCCUGCUGAAUUGAUAUCUUGCUGAAUUCACUAUUAUCCCCUUCGAACCAUACAUUUCGCCGACCCUUUAUCCAAGUUUGUUGAAGAACAUACAAAACAACCCAUUGUUUCUGCUUCUAAGACUGAUGUUACCCCCACCACUCUUGCCAUCCCCGAAGAAUAUGUAUUCCAGCAUCAUUACGCACAAUCCAUCCCAUAUCCAAAGUCUUCAUCCUUGACGAUAACGACUGUCAAAAUUGCAUUUUAGGCAAUCUGAUAGUAGUGGUUCCCAUUAUGAGCUUAUGCGCUUUAUAUUGUAUGGUAUCGGUAUUACUUUGCCAUUCAGCUGUCGCGUAUAAGGCUCUACAAACGUCCUCUAUAGAGAACAUUUCGCUUACUGAAGCAAAGUUAAUUUUGAAAAUUCCAAAUGAUCAGCCACAACUUCCGAAAACAAUUUCUCUAUUUUAUAUUCCAAUAGAAGAAAAAUUGAAAUCAUUAUUUAAAUUGAAUGAUAAAUUUAUUUUUUAGUUAUUGUUUCGUUUUUCACUAUAAACGAAGUAAAUUUUAAGUUUCACAGCUCCAUUAUAUAAUUAUUCUAUUUUCUAAAAAAAUUAAAAUAACAUUGGAUAUGUUUCUAAUGCUCUUAGACUACCUCGAAACUCUUCCCG
rnacentral:lncRNA from 1 species